UAACAAGUGACAGUUAAAACAAAACAAGUCGUGAGGUGUAAAGCGGCGGGGCACACUUGGUCUGCGAUGAACCUGAAAUCCUCCAGAUGAAAUUGACCGGAUCGGUGCACAUAUUUUUUCACUACGUUCCAAAAUUUAAAUUGCAAGCAUACACAAUAUGUUAACCAUGAAGAGAAGCAAGACCAUAACACGGGUCAAAAUAGCCCUUUGGACAACUUACUCCAAGACCGUGGCCUGGUCCUUUGUGUGUCCUUGUUUCAAGAUUGUGCAGAGCAGGAGGCAGAAAUUUCUUGACAACGAUGCCUGCUCCUUUAUUUUCUGAAAGUCCAAAUCCAAGAGAAUAUGUUGGGAGAGUGGGAGUUGGGGCACCUUUGAGAUGGGAUCCUCACCCUGACCUGGAGACUGAGAGCCCGGGGAUGGGUACAUCUGUGAGAAGCGGAAACGCUCGCUCUGGGUGGUCCAGGAUUGCUCAGACACCAGGUCCCUGGAUUGGAUGGUGAUCCCCAGUUGGAAAGCAGAAUCCACAGACAUCUAAGAGACAGGCAGUUUAUAAGAGUGGGCAUGACUGCUGUGAAGGAAGCCCACCCUGGUAUUGGAGGUUGUGGGGA